UACGGGGGGGGCAAGCGUUGUUCGGAAUUACUGGGCGUAAAGGGCUCGUAGGCGGCCAACUAAGUCAUACGUGAAAUCCCUCGGCUUAACCGGGGAACUGCGUCUGAUACUGGAUGGCUUGAGUUCGGGAGAGGGAUGCGGAAUUCCAGGUGUAGCGGUGAAAUGCGUAGAUAUCUGGAGGAACACCGGUGGCGAAGGCGACUCACUGGCCC
rnacentral:rRNA from 1 species